AAGAAAGUUCAUAAGAGGCUAUUAAAACAUCUAAUUAUUUCAGUUAAGAAUCUACCUGAUUCAGUAUAAUUGGUUUCCUUUCCUUCUUGAACUUUUGGAAAACUCUAUGCUUGUGGUGUUCAUAGUAGGUUUUAAAAAGCUAGGCCAUAAUUAUGGAAAAGCAAGCUACUUAAUAAGUGCCACUUCAUGGGGUCAAGAAUAACACACUGCUUCCAACUACUAAUACUGACUUCAGCAAAGGGUGACUUGUGGCUUUAAUGUAGAUAUAAUUUUUUUUUUAAACUAUCUUGGCCAGGCUCGGUGGCUCACACUUGUAAUCCUAACACUUUGGGAGGCCAAGGCAGGUGGAUCACCUGAGGUCAAGAGUUCAAAACCAGCCUGGCCAACAUGGCAAACCCCCAUCUCUACUAAAAAAUCCAAAAAUUAGCUGGAUGUGGUGAGGGGUGCCUGUAAUCCCAGCUAAUCUGGAGGCUGAAGCAGGGAGAAUUGCUUGAACCUGGGAGGCAGAGGUUGCAGUGAGCCGAGAUUGCACCACUGCACUCCAGCCUGGGCAACAGAGUGAGACUCCAUCUCAAAAUAAUGAUGAUGAUAAUAAUAAUAAUAAUAAUAUAAAAUAAAAAUAAAUAACUAUCUUGAACUGGCAGGUAAUAAUAAAAGUGGUAGUGGUGACUAUAAAUCCAAAAUAAGUUAAAAAAAAUCCCUGCUCCUGACUCAUGAUUCUUAGAAGAACCAACUAAUGAUUAAAACUUUAAAAAGCUCAAUAUAUGCAAAUUGACCAAGGGGUUAAAAAAACAAUAUAAAUAAUCUCUAUGUAUUCAAGAUGUGUAAUUGGCAACAAUUUAAGAUUGAUUAACAGGUGGACCCUAGAGGGGGAAAGGAACCUUUAGUGAAUUUCUGGCCAUGCCAGGAAGAAUGUAAAGUUUAAGCAAUUAUUUCCUAUUAGCCCUUGCUAAUUUCUUACUACAAACUCAAUAAACAUUGUUAAAUCCAUCUACUUUGAGAUACAUCUAGCACCAAAUGCCACAAAGUCAAUCACUUCUGCCCUCAACAAGCUUCACCACUUCACCAACUCUCUGUCCUAACUUAGAUUAACUUUUUUUUUUUUUUUGAGACAGGGUUUUUGCUCUGUCGCCCAGACUGGAGUGCAGUGGCAUGAUCUCGUGAUCUCAGCUCACUGCAACCUCCGCCUCCUGGGUUCAAGUGAUUCUCCUGCGUCAGCCUCCGGAGCAGCUGGGAUUACAGGUGCCUGCCACGACACCCGGCUAAUUUUUGUAUUUUUAAUAGAGAUGGGGUUUCACCACGUUGGUCAGGCUGGUCUCGAACUCCUGAUCUCAAGUUAUCUACCCACCUUGGCCUCCCAAAGUGCUGGGAUUAC
rnacentral:lncRNA from 1 species